rnacentral:rRNA from 1 species
ACGGGAGGCAGCAGUGAGGAAUAUUGGUCAAUGGGCGGAAGCCUGAACCAGCCAAGUCGCGUGAAGGAUGAAGGUAUUAUGUAUUGUAAACUUCUUUAGCUGUGGAGCAAUAAGGGCUAUGUAUAGCCUGAUGAGAGUACACAGAGAAUAAGGAUCAGCUAACUCCGUGCCAGCAGCCGCGGUAAUACGGAGGAUCCGAGCGUUAUCCGGAUUUAUUGGGUUUGAAGGGUGCGCAGGCGGCUUUCUAAGUCAGGGGUAAAAUCGGGGCGCCAACCGCCAUCCCGCCAUUGAUACUGGAGAGCUUGAUUGCGGUCGAGGUUUGCGGAAUUCGUCGUGUAGCGGUGAAAUGCAUAGAUAUGACGAAGAACACCGAUUGCGUAGGCAGCAGACCAGGCCGUAAAUGACGCUCAUGCACGAAAGUGCGGGGAUCGAACAGGAUUAGAUACCCUGGUA